AUUGAACGCUGGCGGCAUGCUUUACACAUGCAAGUCGAACGGCAGCGGGGUAGUGCUUGCACUACUGCCGGCGAGUGGCGAACGGGGGAGUAAUAUAUCGGAACGUACCGAGUAAUGGGGGAUAACCAAUCGAAAGAUUGGCUAAUACCGCAUACAUCCUGUGGGAGAAAGCGGGGGAUCGCAACACCUCUCGUUCUUCGAGCUGCCGAUAACUUAUUAGCUAGUUGGUGGGGUAAAGGCCUACCAAGGCGACGAUCAGUAGCGGGUCUGAGAGGACGAUCCGCCACACUGGGACUGAGACACGGCCCAGACUCCUACGGGAGGCAGCAGUGGGGAAUUUUGGACAAUGGGGGCAACCCUGAUCCAGCCAUGCCGCGUGUAUGAAGAAGGCCUUCGGGUUGUAAAGUACUUUUGUUAGGGAAGAAAAGGGAAGUGCUAAUACCACUUUUUGCUGACGGUACCUAAAGAAUAAGCACCGGCUAACUACGUG
rnacentral:rRNA from 1 species